rnacentral:rRNA from 1 species
CCUACGGGAGGCAGCAGUGGGGAAUAUUGCGCAAUGGGCGAAAGCCUGACGCAGCGACGCCGCGUGAGGGAUGAAGGUCUUCGGAUCGGAAACCUCUGUCAGCAGGGAAGAACGGUCACUGUGCUAAUCAGCAGUGAAUUGACGGUACCUGCAAAGGAAGCACCGGCUAACUCCGUGCCAGCAGCCGCGGUAAUACGGAGGGUGCGAGCGUUAAUCGGAAUUACUGGGCGUAAAGCGCUCGUAGGCGGUAUGUCAAGUCAAGGGUGAAAUCCCCGAGCUCAACGUGGGAACUGCCUUUGAUACUGGUAAACUGGAGUGUGUGAGCGGAUAGUGGAAUUCCAGGUGUAGGAGUGAAAUCCGUAGAUAUCAGGCGGAACAUCAGUGGCGAAGGCGACUAUCUGGCACAUAACUGACGCUGAGGAGCGAAAGCGUGGGUAGCAAACAGGAUUAGAUACCCCUGUAGUC